UUCUGCGUAGUUUAGUGGCUAUGACGGGUCCUUGUCAAUUUCAACUUGGUUCGGACCAGACCCGGGUUCAAUUCCCGGCGCGGAAG